AUGUGGACUCACUGUGGGUUUAAUGUGGACUCACUGUGGACUCACUUUGGGCUCAAUGUGGACUCACUGUGGGCUCACUUUGGGCUCACUUUGGGCUCAAUGUGGGUUUAAUGUGGACUCACUUUGGGCUCAAUGUGGACUCACUGUGGGUUCAAUGUGGGUUUAAUGUGGACUCACUGUGGGUUCAAUGUGGGUUUAAUGUGGACUCACUGUGGACUCACUUUGGGCUCAAUGUGGACUCAAUUUGGACUCACGUUGGGUUCAAUGUGGGUUUAAUGUGGACUCACUGUGGGUUCAGUGUGGGUUUAAUUUGGACUCACGUUGGGCUCAAUGUGGACUCACUGUGGACUCACUGUGGGUUCAAUGUGGGUUUAAUGUGGACUCACUUUGGGCUCAAUGUGGGUUUAAUGUGGACUCACUGUGGACUCACUUUGGGUUUAAUGUGGACUCACUUUGGGUUUAAUGUGGACUUACUUUGGGUUUAAGUAACAAACUCAAUUCAGUUCAAAAGGAUUCUUGAUGAAGCAGCUUUUAUUUUCUUUUCAGUGUCACUUACAGUUACUGAAGCUUCUCGAUCAAAAAUCUUUAAAACUGAGUUUGUUUUAAUUUGUGCUCCAAACUGCCUGUUGUCUCCUCCAGUGAAGUUUCCAGGACUGUAAUACGAUGAGUUAUUAAGCAGCUUUUAUUAGUGAUUUUAAGUGGCACUAACUAAACAUUCCUGAUGAACUUUUUACUGGGUAUUUUAUUUCCAUUGUGUCACUUAAAACUACAAAAAGCUGCUUUGAGUUAAAUGAAUUGAUCUAGAUUUAAAAAGGUUUUAUAGAUAAAAACUGUUGAUUGGAGGCUGAUAUUUGCUACCAGUGUUUUUAAAGUUACAGAGAGCUUCAGUGUAACUAUGUUGUUUUUCUCCCCCGUUGUUCUGCUCGUGAGUUCGAUUCCCCUCAGUGAACCUGCAGCAGGCGGUUCAAUAUGCAAUUUGCAUCUGCAGCGUUUUUUUACUUCCUGUUGUUUUUCUAGUCUUUUCUAAUAAUGUACAUACUUUUCUAAUAAAGAAAGAAAAAAGAAACAUUUGUCUGUCCUCAUUGAUAACCUGUUAUCUGAUAUUUAAAGAUUAUAAUGUUUAAAUAGGUUUAAUUCAGUAGACCACUUAAUUAAAUAUUCU
rnacentral:lncRNA from 15 species